CAUGCAAGUCGAACGGUGAACCGGAGCUUGCUCUGUGGGAUCAGUGGCGAACGGGUGAGUAACACGUGAGCAACCUGCCCCUGACUCUGGGAUAAGCGCUGGAAACGGCGUCUAAUACUGGAUAUGUGACGUGACCGCAUGGUCUGCGUUUGGAAAGAUUUUUCGGUUGGGGAUGGGCUCGCGGCCUAUCAGCUUGUUGGUGAGGUAAUGGCUCACCAAGGCGUCGACGGGUAGCCGGCCUGAGAGGGUGACCGGCCACACUGGGACUGAGACACGGCCCAGACUCCUACGGGAGGCAGCAGUGGGGAAUAUUGCACAAUGGGCGAAAGCCUGAUGCAGCAACGCCGCGUGAGGGAUGACGGCCUUCGGGUUGUAAACCUCUUUUAGCAGGGAAGAAGCGAAAGUGACGGUACCUGCAGAAAAAGCGCCGGCUAACUACGUGCCAGCAGCCGCGGUAAUACGUAGGGCGCAAGCGUUAUCCGGAAUUAUUGGGCGUAAAGAGCUCGUAGGCGGUUUGUCGCGUCUGCUGUGAAAUCCCGAGGCUCAACCUCGGGCCUGCAGUGGGUACGGGCAGACUAGAGUGCGGUAGGGGAGAUUGGAAUUCCUGGUGUAGCGGUGGAAUGCGCAGAUAUCAGGAGGAACACCGAUGGCGAAGGCAGAUCUCUGGGCCGUAACUGACGCUGAGGAGCGAAAGGGUGGGGAGCAAACAGGCUUAGAUACCCUGGUAGUCCACCCCGUAAACGUUGGGAACUAGUUGUGGGGUCCAUUCCACGGAUUCCGUGACGCAGCUAACGCAUUAAGUUCCCCGCCUGGGGAGUACGGCCGCAAGGCUAAAACUCAAAGGAAUUGACGGGGACCCGCACAAGCGGCGGAGCAUGCGGAUUAAUUCGAUGCAACGCGAAGAACCUUACCAAGGCUUGACAUAUACGAGAACGGGCCAGAAAUGGUCAACUCUUUGGACACUCGUAAACAGGUGGUGCAUGGUUGUCGUCAGCUCGUGUCGUGAGAUGUUGGGUUAAGUCCCGCAACGAGCGCAACCCUCGUUCUAUGUUGCCAGCACGUAAUGGUGGGAACUCAUGGGAUACUGCCGGGGUCAACUCGGAGGAAGGUGGGGAUGACGUCAAAUCAUCAUGCCCCUUAUGUCUUGGGCUUCACGCAUGCUACAAUGGCCGGUACAAAGGGCUGCAAUACCGUGAGGUGGAGCGAAUCCCAAAAAGCCGGUCCCAGUUCGGAUUGAGGUCUGCAACUCGACCUCAUGAAGUCGGAGUCGCUAGUAAUCGCAGAUCAGCAACGCUGCGGUGAAUACGUUCCCGGGUCUUGUACACACCGCCCGUCAAGUCAUGAAAGUCGGUAACACCUGAAGCCGGUGGCCUAACCCUUGUGGAGGGAGCUGUCGAAGGUGGGAUCGGUAAUUA
rnacentral:rRNA from 1 species